rnacentral:rRNA from 1 species
CCUACGGGAGGCAGCAGUGGGGAAUAUUGCGCAAUGGGCGAAAGCCUGACGCAGCGACGCCGCGUGAGGGAUGAAGGUCUUCGGAUCGUAAACCUCUGUUAGCAGGGAAGAACGGUCACUGUGCUAAUCAGGUGUGAAUUGACGGUACCUGCAAAGGAAGCACCGGCUAACUCCGUGCCAGCAGCCGCGGUAAUACGGAGGGUGCGAGCGUUAAUCGGAAUGACUGGGCGUAAAGCGGUCGUAGGCGGUACGACAAGUCAAGGGUGAAAUGCCCGAGCCCAACGUGUGAAUGGCCUUUGAAACUGGCUGACUGGAGUGUGUGAGAGGGUGGUGGAAUGCCAGGUGUAGGAGUGAAAUGCGUAGAUAUCUGGAAGAACAUCAGUGGCGAAGGCGGCUAUCUGGCACAUAACUGACGCUGAGGAACGAAAGCGUGGGUAGCAAACAGGAUUAGAUACCCUGGUAGUC